rnacentral:lncRNA from 1 species
UGUCAUAGUUUUAUCUAUAGAUGCCUCUAAACCCAAAAUGUUACAAAUAUUGGGGAAGAUUUGUGUUCAUAUUAUGAGAUAUACAACUACAACAUAAGCUUUAAUUUGAAGAAUGGACUAUUUUUUUUUUUUUUGUAUUAUUUUUUGUUUGUGAGUGUGUUUUUUUAUUUUAAUUCUUUAGGUCGUAGUCCUGUCGAUAUAGCAAAGUACCAAUCAGAGAUUCAGAGCUAUAGAAUUAGUGAAAAAUAAUUUGAGCAUAUAGGAAUGAAAGAAAGGUAAGGUUGGGUGGUCCAAAUGUAAGCCAUUAUUGUUUGAAUGUUUGGUAUAAGAGGGGAACAAGGAGAAUAUCUAUUUGACGUUUGUAGUUACCAAUCAAUCUCUUGUCUUAUGUCGUUUCUAUCAUUUCCUAACUUAAGACUUGUG